AAAGUGACAGACUGAGUCUACUCAAUUUUCAUAAAAAUGACAAGCUUGACACAUUGCAUGAAAAAUUGAAUAGCUAAACAUCUGUGUUUUUCUGAAAACAGGUGAAAAGAUUUGCUGCAGAAACACACAAAGAAAUACUAUGAUUCGAAACUGAGAACAAUCCAAGAAGGCAAUUUUGUAUGAAAAUGGUACCAUUCUACCAUAGAAAUUAGGUUUGAAUUAAGAUUUUGCACGUCACUUCCAACGAAGAUUUACAAUAGUUGUAUAAUUUUAAUACAAUCUCAAAUUUCUG